GGCGGAGUAGCUCAGUCGGCUAGAGCAGGCGUUUCAUACGCGCCGGGUCGGGGGUUCGAUUCCCUCCUCCGCCACCA
rnacentral:tRNA from 1 species